UGCCGCGUGCGUGAAGAAGGCCUUCGGGUUGUAAAGCGCUUUUGUCAGGGAGCAAAUCCUUGUGGCUAAUACCCACCGGGGAUGAGAGUACCUGAAGAAUAAGGACCGGCUAACUACGUGCCAGCAGCCGCGGUAAUACUUAGGGUCCAAGCGUUAAUCGGAAUUACUGGGCGUAAAGCGUGCGCAGGUGGUUUGUUAAGCACGAUGUGAAAUCCCCGAGCUCAACUUGGGAAUUGCAUUGUGAACUGGCUAACUAGAGUACGGCAGAGGGGGGUGGAAUUCCACGUGUAGCAAUGAAAUGCGUAAAGAUGUGGAGGAACACCGAUGGCGAAGGCAACCCCCUGGGCUGAUACUGACACUCAUGCACGAAAGCGUGGGGAGCAAACAGGAUUAAAUACCCUGGUAGUCCACGCCCUAAACGAUGUCAACUAGUUGUUGGGCUUUUCGGAGCUUACUAACGCAGCUACGCGUGAAGUUGACCGCCUGGGGAGUACGGUCGCAAGACUAAAACUCAAGGAAUUGACGGGGGCCCGCACAAGCGGUGGAUGAUGUGGAUUAAUUCGAUGCAACGCGAAAAACCUUACCUGGUCUUGACAUGUACGGAAUCCUUUAUAGAU
rnacentral:rRNA from 1 species